GACAGAGGCCCCAAGCGUUAGGCGGAAUCACUGGGCUUAAAGCGUGUGUAGGCGGAUCGCUAAGUGUCUUGUGAAAUCCCACGGCUCACCCGUGGAACUGCUGGGCAUACUGGCGAUCUUGGGCCAACUAGGGGCAGCCGGAACAAGCGGUGGAGCGGUGAAAUGCGUAGAUAUCGCUUGGAACGCCGAAGGUGAAAACAGGCUGCUGGGGUUGUGCCGACGCUGAGACACGAAAGCCAGGGGAGCAAACGGG
rnacentral:rRNA from 1 species